UGGCUAGGAAGGUCAAAGAGGUUUUCUAAUCGAUUUUGUCCUAGGUUUGUGCAAUAAUCAAUACUUAGUUAAAGGAAGUGCAUGCCAUUCCGGAUCCAUAAAAUAUGUUCGUUAUUUUUUAGCUUUUUCUGUCUCCACAUUGUUAGCUAGCUAGUAACGUUAACUCACUGCUAUCUGAAGACGUUACAGCUAGCCCACAGUAGUUUGGAAAUGGCUAGAUAUCGCUCCAGCCGUAAUUGUUAUCCAACAAGCGAGAUCUUAUGCAGAACGGUUAUCAGCAAUUCAAUAUGAAAGAUGAAACACACAUCGACGGCAAGGCCAUCUCUUUGGAGUGUCAAAGUCACUCGGUUUUUUUUUUGCAGGGAGUUCACAGUUAGCCCCGCUAAAGUCUCCAUAGGCAGAAUGGUGGUGUACACUUGUGCUGUCUGCCUAUCUGCCUACACAUAUUCUUCUUUACUGAGAACACAGCCGUUCUCUCCAGUGUCAUAAUCAUCACCCUGGUCGGUAUGAUGGUCCACAUCCACUUUGUGAACGUGGACCAUGUGAGACGCUGCUCAUCAUUGGUUCCCUGGGUGACCAGGUGUCUUCUAGCGACGCCUCCGGCACUGAGUCCUACAGGCUUCAUAGAGAUGGGCAAGAUCAAAGACAUAGUAAAUAAUGAAGCUGUUCACAUGCCAUCUACUACCUGUGCAUCCUGCUGAAAGACCUCGCAGAUCCUGAUGCCGUUUCUUGCGUGUCCCGCUGUUUCAG